ACCGGCGCACGGGUGCGUAACGCGUAUGCAACCUGCCUGUAAUUAGGGAAUAACCCGGUGAAAGUCGGACUAAUACCCUAUAUUCUUCUUUCUCCGCAUGGGGAAGGACGGAAAGAUUUAUUGAUUACAGAUGGGCAUGCGUCCCAUUAGCUUGUUGGUAAGGUAACGGCUUACCAAGGCAACGAUGGGUAGGGGGACUGAGAGGUUGACCCCCCACACUGGUACUGAGACACGGACCAGACUCCUACGGGAGGCAGCAGUGAGGAAUAUUGGUCAAUGGGCGAGAGCCUGAACCAGCCAAGUCGCGUGAAGGACGACGGUUCUAUGGAUUGUAAACUUCUUUUGUAGAGGAAUAAUGGCAGCUACGUGUAGCUGAGAUGCAUGUACUCUACGAAUAAGUAUCGGCUAACUCCGUGCCAGCAGCCGCGGUAAUACGGAGGAUACGAGCGUUAUCCGGAAUUAUUGGGUUUAAAGGGUGCGUAGGUGGCGUAUUAAGUCAGUGGUGAAAAGCUGCAGCUCAACUGUAGUCUUGCCGUUGAAACUGAUAUGCUAGAGAGGAGACGAGGUAUGCGGAAUGUGUGGUGUAGCGGUGAAAUGCAUAGAUAUCACACAGAACGCCGAUUGCGAAGGCAGCGUACCAGGCUCCGUCUGA
rnacentral:rRNA from 1 species